rnacentral:rRNA from 1 species
UACGGAAGGGGGCAAGCGUUGUUCGGAAUCAUUGGGCGUAAAGGGCGCGCAGGUGGCUCUGUAUGUCUGCCGUGAAAGCAUACAGCUCAACUGUAUUGUGUCGGUAGAAACUGCAGGACUUGAGGCUGGGAGGGGCUGGUGGAAUUCCCUGUGUAGCGGUGAAAUGCGUAGAGAUGGGGGAGAACACUCGUGGCGAAGGCGGCCAGCUAGACCAGUUCUGACACUGAGGCGCGACAGCGUGGGGAGCAAACAGG